AAUUUAUAAAAAGUUGUUAUAAAAAAAAAUUGUAAUAUGGACGUCCACCACAUAAAUGGUUCUUUCGCGACAAACUCGGCCGUCCAUUAGUGUUCACACAGCAAAAAUUCACCCCAUUGCAAAGUUCAACCAUAAAUCUGUGACUACUUUAUAAUGAAGAAGAAGAAUAAGAAGAACUGAUCUUUCCCACACCUCAUUAUGGAGUGACGGGCUUCCCAACUAGACUAUUGAGAAACAUAUGUAUGUUAAUUAUU